GAGUUUGAUCGUGGCUCAGAUUGAACGCUGGCGGCAUGCCUUACACAUGCAAGUCGAACGGCAGCAUGAUCUAGCUUGCUAGAUUGAUGGCGAGUGGCGAACGGGUGAGUAAUACAUCGGAACGUGCCCUGUAGUGGGGAUAACUAGUCGAAAGAUUAGCUAAUACCGCAUACGACCUGAGGGUGAAAGUGGGGGACCGCAAGGCCUCAUGCUAUAGGAGCGGCCGAUGUCUGAUUAGCUAGUUGGUGGGGUAAAGGCCCGACCAAGGCGACGAUCAGUAGCUGGUCUGAGAGGACGAUCAGCCACACUGGGACUGAGACACGGCCCAGACUCCUACGGGAGGCAGCAGUGGGGAAUUUUGGACAAUGGGCGAAAGCCUGAUCCAGCAAUGCCGCGUGUGUGAAGAAGGCC
rnacentral:rRNA from 1 species